rnacentral:lncRNA from 12 species
GGUUUUCCUUCUAGUCAUUUUGCUCAGUGCAGAGUGGCCAAAAGCAAGUUGUAUUGGGAAAAAGAGAAAAAGAGAGGAGAGAAAGAAGGAAAGAAAAGAGAAAGAGAAAAAAAAAGGGGAAGAAAAAGAAAAAAAAAACGAAAAAAAAAAAAAAGAAGAAAAAGAGAAAGAAAAAGAAAGGAGAAAAAAAAGGGGGUGGGGGAAGGAAACAAAUCAAAAAGCAAAACAAAACAGAAACAAAAACAAAAACAAAAACAAACAAACAAAAAAAGAACCACCGGGGAGUAUCUUCUGAUUCUGUGUACUUUGAGUCCCUUGGCUUCUCCUGGAAGUUGUCCGUCUAGCUGGUGUUCUGGGGGAGGGGCCUGUUGUGCUGAUUUUCAGGUGUUAGCAGUUGGGGGAGCUGCUGUGCCCCUGCCUGGUGCAGGGCUCAGUGGGGGUUGUUUACCCCGUGAGGCCGCAGGAGGAACAGCCCCAGUGGCGGGGCAGCUCUGGAAACCGGAUUCAGCUCCGGCAGGAACUCCGUCUGCAGGGCCUGGAGGCUCCGGGGCGGGGCCGCUGAUGUGCUCAGCUGGGGCAGGAGCGUCCUUGCUGUCCUGGGCCCUCCCGGCCUCUGCCUGUCCCGGGGGAGGCCGGAUCCUGGGCUGUGUCCCGGCGCCCUGUGCUCCGGAGCCUGCGCUGGUGGAUUCGCGCUCCCGGGCCGCGCAACCCCCUCCGCGGAGCCGCCGCCCGAGCCCCUUCAGCUGCUCCGGGUCCCGCCGGGUCCCGCCGUGCGCGCUGCAGCCCUUGGGGAGCUCGGCGCACUCUCCUGGGCGCGCAGUUGCUGUUACUGUCCCCGGGAGCCCGAGGGCAUCCCCGCCCUCCUGGGUCCUGCUCCAACUCCCCGCGAGCCCCUUUCCCCCAGGAAGGUCGGUGCAGCUCCUGCGUCUCCGGGACGGGGCUCUCCUGUCCUGGGGACACUCGCCCCGGCCUCAGCCCGGCUCCUCGUGGGCCCCUCCCCCUUGGAGGCCUUUGUUUCUUUACUUCUUUUUCCCCGUCUUCCUACCUUGA